rnacentral:rRNA from 1 species
AGAGUUUGAUCCUGGCUCAGGAUGAACGCUAGCGGCAGGCUUAACACAUGCAAGUCGAACGGUAACAGCACUUCGGUGGCUGACGAGUGGCGCACGGGUGCGUAACGCGUAUGCAAUCUACCUUUUACAGUGGGAUAGCCCAGAGAAAUUUGGAUUAAUACCGCAUAGUAUAUAGAAUUGGCAUCGAUUUUAUAUUAAACAUUUAUGGGUAAAAGAUGAGCAUGCGUUCUAUUAGCUAGAUGGAGUGGUAACGGCACCCCAUGGCGACGAUAGAUAGGGGCCCUGAGAGGGGGAUCCCCCACACUGGUACUGAGACACGGACCAGACUCCUACGGGAGGCAGCAGUGAGGAAUAUUGGACAAUGGGCGGGAGCCUGAUCCAGCCAUGCCGCGUGCAGGAAGACUGCCCUAUGGGUUGUAAACUGCUUUUAUACAGGAAGAAACCGCUCUACGUGUAGCGCUCUGACGGUACUGUAAGAAUAAGGAUCGGCUAACUCCGUGCCAGCAGCCGCGGUAAUACGGAGGAUCCGAGCGUUAUCCGGAAUCAUUGGGUUUAAAGGGUCCGUAGGCGGGCCAUUAAGUCAGGGGUGAAAGUCUGCGGCUCAACCGUAGAAUUGCCCUUGAUACUGGUGGUCUUGAGUUAUGGUGAAGUAACUAGAAUAUGUAGUGUAGCGGUGAAAUGCAUAGAUAUUACAUAGAAUACCGAUUGCGAAGGCAGAUCACUAAUAAUAUAUUGACGCUGAGGGACGAAAGCGUGGGGAGCGAACAGGAUUAGAUACCCUGGUAGUCCACGCCGUAAACGAUGGAUACUAGCUGUUCGGAGCAAUCUGAGUGGCUAAGCGAAAGUGAUAAGUAUCCCACCUGGGGAGUACGUUCGCAAGAAUGAAACUCAAAGGAAUUGACGGGGGCCCGCACAAGCGGUGGAGCAUGUGGUUUAA